rnacentral:rRNA from 1 species
UACGUAGGGUGCGAGCGUUAAUCGGAAUUACUGGGCGUAAAGCGCGCGUAGGCGGUUUUGUAAGUCGGGUGUGAAAUCCCCAAGCUUAACUUGGGAACUGCAUUCGAGACUGCAUAGCUAGAGUAUGGGAGAGGGAAGUGGAAUUUCAGGUGUAGCGGUGAAAUGCGUAGAUAUCUGAAGGAACAUCAGUGGCGAAAGCGACUUCCUGGACCAAUACUGACGCUCAUGUGCGAAAGCGUGGGGAGCAAACAGG